GAUGAAGAACGCAGCGAAAUGCGAUAAGUAAUGUGAAUUGCAGAAUUCAGUGAAUCAUCGAAUCUUUGAACGCACAUUGCGCCUGCUAGUAUUCUGGCGGGCAUGCCUGUCCGAGCGUCAUUUCAACCCUCAAGCCCCCGGGCUUGGUGUUGGGGAUCGGCGAGCCUCCGCGCCCGCCGUCCCCUAAAUCUAGUGGCGGUCUCGCUGUAGCUUCCUCUGCGUAGUAGCACACCUCGCACUGGGAAACAGCGCGGCCACGCCGUUAAACCCCCAACUUCUGAACGUUUGACCUCGGAUCAGGUAGGAAUACCCGCUGAACUUAAGCAUAUCAAUAAGCGGAGGA
rnacentral:misc_RNA from 1 species